rnacentral:rRNA from 1 species
CCUACGUGCGGCAGCAGUGGGGGAUAUUGCACAAUGGGGGGAACCCUGAUGCAGCGACGCCGCGUGUGGGAAGACGGUCCUCUGGAUUGUAAACCACUGUCCCCAGGGACGAAAAUGACGGAACCUGGGGAGGAAGCUCCGCCUAACUACGUGCCAGAAGCCGCGGGAAUACGUAGGGAGCGAGUGUUGUCGGGAAUUACUGGGGGUAAAGGGAGCGUAGGCGGGGAUGCAAGUUGGGUGUAAAAACUACCGGCUCAACUGGUAGUCGCACUCAAAACUGCAGCUCUUGAGUGAAGUAGAGGCAGGCGGAAUUCCUAGUGUAGCGGUGAAAUGCGUAGAUAUUAGGAGGAACACCAGUGGCGAAGGCGGCCUGCUGGGCUUUUACUGACGCUGAGGCUCGAAAGUGUGGGGAGCAAACAGGAUUAGAUACCCGAGUAGUC